CACAGACGGUCUUUACAAGCGACUCGUGGGCGUCAAUACUGGGCUGAGUUUGUGGCGCGCUUAGUGAUGGGAUGGCCCUGUGCAGGACGCCGACACGAAAAGAUGAAGAGUUCAAUCCGUGCUGUCUGAACUCACAGUGUAGCAGGCGAGAUAGACGGGAAGAUCGGUAGGGUGGGAGAUGCCGGAAAGGCUUCCCGUGAGACUGGAUAAGAAAUCAAAAAUCUGGUGAAAUUGCCGGCAAGAGGGAGUUAAGGACAUUCCAGGCAGAGGCAAGUUGGUCCUUGCUGGCUGAUCCAGCUUCCCCGUCAGCAUAUGGUGAGCAGUUCGGUGAGAGGACCACACUUCCAAUACUGGCAGAUGAAGCCAGAUACUCCUCUAUGAAGUUAAAUGACUGGUUCAGUGUUAACACUGCUAGUGAGCGACAGAGAUGGAAUUUGAACGCACACCUGUCUGACUCCACCUCGUGUUCCUUCCACAUGGCCAGCAAGCUCUGCUGUCCCACCUCGCACUUCUGGGAGGUGGCUACUCCCUCUUUCCACCCCCUUUUCUGGAUCUUGACAAGGGAUUCUACCCUGCCCCAGCUGUCAAAGCCUGCAGCAGCUGCCAAAAAACCUCAACACAGGCAUACUUUGGACCUACAUCAUGUGUUGAUGUCACAGAUGCUGUACCAGGCAUUUGACUCCUUGAUCUAAAGCCAGGAUUCCUAGCCAACAUGGCGAAACCCUGUCUCUACUAAAAAUAACAAAAAUUAGCUGGGCAUGGUGAUAGGCACCUGUAAUCCCAGCUACUUGGGAGGCUGAGGCAGGAGAAUUACUUGAACCCAGGAAGCGAAGGCUGCAGUGAGCAGAGAUUGUGCCUCUGCACUACAGCCUGGGCUAUGGAGUAAGACUCUGUCUCAAAAAAAAAAAAAAAAAAAAAAUAGUGAGGGGGAUGCAUGCCCACACAAAGGAAUCCUGAUAGAGGAACAAUGGCUUGGUCCGUUUCCCCUCCUGUGUAGCACUGUGAUAAAGGAAAGCCUUUCAGAUUCCUAAGAUGAGGACACAGCAUCCUGGGCCACUGUCACUAAUACAAAUUUGCCUCUGGAGGGACUCUACGGAAGAUAAUUCCCCUGAAAUUUGGAGAGUUGAAUUAAGCUAGGACUGAUUCUGGCUGGAAUUUGUGGUGGCUACGUACCCUAGAGGGCCUCAAGGAAACCCACGGUUCAAGACAGCCCUGACAGAUUCUGGAGUCUAGAACAGAAAUGGAUUUGAACAUGGGCAAGGCCAACCACCCAGUUCACGGCCUGUGUACAGCAAAGAUUACGUUACAGCCUGAGAGCUAAGCCUGGAAGCUCUUUCAUCCAUCCGUUUGUCCAUCUAUCCAUCCAUCUGCUCAUCCAUCCCUCCAUCUGCUCAACAAACGUUAGAGAAUCAAUCCUUGUGUCAGAUACUGGGGCUGCCCUCAAGGAGCUUUUAUAGAGUUCAGGGUACAGCCAGGUGGGGGAGACAGAUCACUAUAAAAACCUACCACUAUAAUCCAAAGGACAAGAGCAAAAAUAGUAAAGAGGAGAGAAGACCCAAAUUUGCCUGGUGGGUCAGAGAGGGCUUUCUAGAAGAGGUAAAAAAUCUUCGGGGCUAUCACUUCACCUUGCCUGGUGGAUAAAGGGAGGACUUUCCAGAUACAGUGGACAGAAUGUGCAGAGGCAGGAGCCAUGAGUGGCAGAGGCAGGGGAGGGACUGCAGAGACAGGUUGGAGCCAAAGCACGUGGCACUGGAGCCAUAGCCAAAGGAACAAACUGUGAGACCUGGGACUUGAAUUUGGAGGUGGUGAAAAGUGACAAGGUCUUCACAGAAGAGUGAUUUUUUCAACUUAGGGAAGGCUGACCCCAGACCAAUGCUGCCAAAGUGUGGUCUGUGGGCUGUUAGCAGUUCGUGACGAUGUAAGUACAGGAAUUGAGAUUAAGCAUUUAGAACACCUACAGCACUUUGAUAGUCAUUUUACUUUUUAAAUUUUGAGCUGGCAUUUUAUAUGCCUGGUUUUUUUUUGUUUUUGUUUUUUUAUUUUUUUUGAGACAGUCUCGCUCUGUCGCCCAGGCUGGAGUGCAGUGGCGCGAUCUCUGCUCACUGCAAGCUCCGCCUCCCGGGUUCACGCCAUUCUCCUGCCUCAUCCUCCCAAGUAGCUGGGACUGCAGGCGCCUGCCGCCUCGCCCAGCUAAUUUUUUGUAUUUUUAAUAGAGACGGGGUUUCACCAUGUUAGCCAGGAUGGUCUCAAUCUCCUGAUCUCGUGAUCUGCCCGCCUUGGCCUCCCAAAAUGCUGGGAUUACAGGUGUGAGCCACCACGCCCAGCCUUAUUCUCUUUUUCUAAUAGUUGCACUUUAUCAUAUUUUACAAAUGUGUGAGUCUGCUAUGGAUUAGAAAUUAAUAAGAGAUUUUGCCACAGAUAGUUUGAGAAGCCCAGCACUGCCACUCAACAAAUGCUGGUGCAUUCAGAUGGUGAAAUAUUCUGCAGCUAUUAAAGGAGUUAAAACUGCCUCCACUUACCUGGAGGCCCAUCUGUGACACCUUUUUAGGUUAAAAGGAAAAGAAAAACUUGCUUAGGACUGAAUAUGAGCGGUUGCAAUUUGUAACAAUGAUGUAUAUAUACAUAUACAUUUUCAUGUAUUUGUAUGAACAUAAAAGUAUUGAAGGAUAUUCAUCAAACUGCUAAAAGGGUUGCUUCAGAGUAACGGACUCGGAGAAGGCAGAUUAAUUUUCUCUUAAUGGAACUCUGUAUUGUAUCACUUGUAAAAAUAAGCAUGUGUUAUCUUUAUGAUAAAAAAGUAAAAACCUAAAAAAGAAAAUUUUGAUGUGUGUUAAAAUUUUGGAUUUCUAGGCUCCACCUUUUUUGAAUGAGUCUCUCCAAGAGUGGGG
rnacentral:lncRNA from 1 species